rnacentral:ncRNA from 1 species
UGACCUCAAAUCAGGUAGGAUUACCCGCUGAACUUAAGCAUAUCAAUAAGCGGAGGAAAAGAAACCAACUGGGAUUACCUUAGUAACGGCGAGUGAAGCGGUAAAAGCUCAAAUUUGAAAUCUGGUACUUUCAGUGCCCGAGUUGUAAUUUGUAGAAUUUGUCUUUGAUUAGGUCCUUGUCUAUGUUCCUUGGAACAGGACGUCAUAGAGGGUGAGAAUCCCGUUUGGCGAGGAUACCUUUUCUCUGUAAGACUUUUUCG